rnacentral:rRNA from 1 species
GAUGAACGCUGGCGGCGUGCCUAACACAUGCAAGUCGAGCGAACAGAUAAGGAGCUUGCUCCUUUGACGUUAGCGGCGGACGGGUGAGUAACACGUGGGUAACCUACCUAUAAGACUGGGAUAACUUCGGGAAACCGGAGCUAAUACCGGAUAACAUUUGGAACCGCAUGGUUCUAAAGUGAAAGAUGGUUUUGCUAUCACUUAUAGAUGGACCCGCGCCGUAUUAGCUAGUUGGUAAGGUAACGGCUUACCAAGGCAACGAUACGUAGCCGACCUGAGAGGGUGAUCGGCCACACUGGAACUGAGACACGGUCCAGACUCCUACGGGAGGCAGCAGUAGGGAAUCUUCCGCAAUGGGCGAAAGCCUGACGGAGCAACGCCGCGUGAGUGAUGAAGGGUUUCGGCUCGUAAAACUCUGUUAUUAGGGAAGAACAAACGUGUAAGUAACUGUGCACGUCUUGACGGUACCUAAUCAGAAAGCCACGGCUAACUACGUG